UACGAGGGGGGCGAGCGUUGUUCGGAAUUAUUGGGCGUAAAGGGUGCGUAGGCGGUUUGGUAAGUCUUAUGUGAAAUCUAUGGGCUCAACUCAUAGUCUGCAUGAGAAACUGCCGGGCUUGAGUAUGGGAGAGGUGAGUGGAAUUCCUGGUGUAGCGGUGAAAUGCGUAGAUAUCAGGAGGAACACCUGUGGCGAAAGCGGCUCACUGGACCAUAACUGACGCUGAGGAGCGAAAAGCGUGGGGAGCGAACAGG
rnacentral:rRNA from 1 species